CUCCAGACUCCUACGGGAGGCAGCAGUGGGGAAUAUUGCACAAUGGGCGAAAGCCUGAUGCAGCAACGCCGCGUGAAGGAAGAAGGCCUUCGGGUCGUAAACUUCUGUCCUUGGGGAAGAAGAACUGACGGUACCCAAGGAGGAAGCCCCGGCUAACUACGUGCCAGCAGCCGCGGUAAUACGUAGGGGGCAAGCGUUAUCCGGAAUCACUGGGCGUAAAGGGCGCGUAGGCGGUAAUAUAAGUCAGAUGUGAAAGGUGGGGGCUCAACCCCUAGAGUGCAACUGAUACUGUAUAACUUGAGUGUGAGAGAGGGAAGCGGAAUUCCUAGUGUAGCGGUGAAAUGCGUAGAUAUUAGGAGGAACACGAGUGGCGAAGGCGGCUUUCUGGACUGUACCUGACGCUGAGGCGCGAAAGCGUGGGUAGCGAACGGGAUUAGAUACCCCUGUA
rnacentral:rRNA from 1 species